CUAAUACCCAAUGAUAUCUCUAGAAGACAUCUGAAAGAGAUUAAAGAUUUAUCGGUGAUGGAUGGGGAUGCGUCUGAUUAGCUUGUUGGCGGGGUAACGGCCCACCAAGGCAACGAUCAGUAGGGGUUCUGAGAGGAAGGUCCCCCACAUUGGAACUGAGACACGGUCCAAACUCCUACGGGAGGCAGCAGUGAGGAAUAUUGGUCAAUGGACGAGAGUCUGAACCAGCCAAGUAGCGUGCAGGAAGACGGCCCUAUGGGUUGUAAACUGCUUUUAUAAGGGAAUAAAGUUAGUCUCGUGAGACUUUUUGCAUGUACCUUAUGAAUAAGGACCGGCUAAUUCCGUGCCAGCAGCCGCGGUAAUACGGAAGGUCCGGGCGUUAUCCGGAUUUAUUGGGUUUAAAGGGAGCGUAGGCCGGAGAUUAAGCGUGUUGUGAAAUGUAGACGCUCAACGUCUGCACUGCAGCGCGAACUGGCUUCCUUGAGUACGCACAAAGUGGGCGGAAUUCGUGGUGUAGCGGUGAAAUGCUUAGAUAUCACGAAGAACUCCGAUUGCGAAGGCAGCUCACUGGAGCGCAACUGACGCUGAAGCUCGAAAGUGCGGGUAUCGAACAGGAUUAGAUACCCCGGUAGUCCGCACGGUAAAC
rnacentral:rRNA from 1 species